rnacentral:rRNA from 1 species
AGUGAACGCUGGCGGUAGGCCUAACACAUGCAAGUCGAACGGCAGCACAGUAAGAGCUUGCUCUUACGGGUGGCGAGUGGCGGGCGGGUGAGGAAUACAUCGGAAUCUACUUUUUCGUGGGGGAUAACGUAGGGAAACUUACGCUAAUACCGCAUACGACCUACGGGUGAAAGCAGGGGAUCUCCGGACCUUGCGCGAUUGAAUGAGCCGAUGUCGGAUUAGCUAGUUGGCGGGGUAAAGGCCCACCAAGGCGACGAUCCGUAGCUGGUCUGAGAGGAUGAUCAGCCACACUGGAACUGAGACACGGUCCAGACUCCUACGGGAGGCAGCAGUGGGGAAUAUUGGACAAUGGGCGCAAGCCUGAUCCAGCCAUACCGCGUGGGUGAAGAAGGCCUUCGGGUUGUAAAGCCCUUUUGUUGGGAAAGAAAAGCAGCAGGUUAAUACCCCGCUGUUCUGACGGUACCCAAAGAAUAAGCACCGGCUAACUUCGUG